rnacentral:rRNA from 1 species
GAUGAACGCUGGCGGCGUGCCUAAUACAUGCAAGUCGAGCGAACAGAUGAGGAGCUUGCUCCUCUGACGUUAGCGGCGGACGGGUGAGUAACACGUGGAUAACCUACCUAUAAGACUGGGAUAACUUCGGGAAACCGGAGCUAAUACCGGAUAAUAUAUUGAACCGCAUGGUUCAAUAGUGAAAGACGGUUUUGCUGUCACUUAUAGAUGGAUCCGCGCCGCAUUAGCUAGUUGGUAAGGUAACGGCUUACCAAGGCAACGAUGCGUAGCCGGCCUGAGAGGGUGAUCGGCCACACUGGAACUGAGACACGGUCCAGACUCCUACGGGAGGCAGCAGUAGGGAAUCUUCCGCAAUGGGCGAAAGCCUGACGGAGCAACGCCGCGUGAGUGAUGAAGGUCUUCGGAUCGUAAAACUCUGUUAUUAGGGAAGAACAAAUGUGUAAGUAACUAUGCACGUCUUGACGGUACCUAAUCAGAAAGCCACGGCUAACUACG